UUUAAGAUAGUUUAUAGUAAAAUAUUAUUUUUGGGUAAUAAAGCACUCCUUUUUAAGAGUCUUACUG
rnacentral:tRNA from 1 species